rnacentral:lncRNA from 1 species
CCCAUUUUGCGCCUUUGACUGGUCAGCUGAAUGGGGCCGCUCGCUUUUGUCCUCUCCCACAAGUCCCUUCAGAAAAACCCCUUUUAACGCCCGGUACCCGCUGAUGGAUCCGUUUUCAAAUGGCGCGAGGACGGCAGCGCUGGAGGCCGCGUCUCCUUAGUAAUCGCGCGGGCUGGGCUAGGCGAGGGGUCGGGGCAGGGGUCGCGUUCACCCGCCCGGGGUUUGGGCGCUGAGGGUGGGGAGGGGGGAGAAGGUUUGGGCACUUUUGUCUCGCCUGCAUCCGCGCGCCUCCCGGGUGUGGCGGCUCCCGCGGCUCCGAGGCGCUUUCCCGGGCGUCCGCGGCGCUUCUCUCCCCAGAAGUCUCCCUCCCGAGGCGCAGCAGCAGCUGCCCUUGCGCUCUCGCACUCGCUCCCUUCCAGGGCUCCGUUUCCCAACCCGUCCUUUAAAAUGUCCUCAAAGACAGGCGCUGGGUGCAGAGUAGUAAGAGCUGCGGUCUCCCCGAGACCCCACCGAACCCAGCGCCGCCGCCGGGCGCCCUGCUCCGUUUUCCCCCUUCCAGACCAUCACAGACCCCCAGUGGGGCCAGAAUUUUCCAGAACUGUUCCACCCCGCCCCCGCCCGGGGCUUUCAGGUAGCGCCCAGAGCAGGAUGCGGGCUAGCCUCAGGGCGUCCGGAGUUGGCCCUGCCUGGCCGUCUCUGGUCUCCCUUCUCUUGCCUCCGUUUCCCCGGGACCGGGGUCCCCUGGAGACCUCGUUCGGUGGCAGCGUUUUAAGGUGUAAGAUGAAAAGUCAGAUGUCCAACCACGGACGCAGCCUGGUUUGGGGUCCGGGGAGCAGUGCCCAUCGCUGAGUUUAUCAGGACAUUCUAUUUGCACAGACUUCAGUACGGCACUGAAUAUUUAAAAUCGCACACACACAUCUCCAGUAGCCUCGAUAAUGUAUAUAGUGAAAUCCCCACGUUGGCUCUGGAUUGAUUUAAAGGAAACAAUACGGCGUUGAGGCGACUGCUGGACACGGAAGAGUGAAGCCACGUUUUCCAACUGGUGUUGCUUAAAGCAAAAUUCAAUAGUAUGCUCCUACUCUUCGUCUAGAGGUGAACUGAACGUGUUCUCGAGGCCAGAUGUUCCCCCAGUGUGCACAGGCCCAUUGAUUUGGAAUCUUGCCUUAGGGCUAGGAUCGCGUGUAACUCAGAAGGUCUGGAGGUGGAGAGUGAGGAUGUCCUCUCCUGAGCGUUGCUCCCACUCACCUGAAGCAAACAGCUGUGGGGAGACGGGAUGAAGAGCAAUUAGGGAGAAGAAUAUUUAUAAAGUCAAUUUCUUAAAGGGACGACUAGAAUAAAAGACCCAAAAGAUUAUUUGAGAGGCCA